rnacentral:misc_RNA from 1 species
CUUUCGCUGGGUCGUAUCAAGUAGCUAAGAUCUCAGCGCAACUCAGCUUGGAUCACAACUUGAUACAUUUUCUCUCGUCUGCUCAGUGAUUUAAAUCGAUACAUAUAUCGUCUUGCAGCCAGCUUUUAUAGUGACGCUCUUUUUGUUUUUGAAACAUGGCGAUUUCUCAACAGCCACGCAUAUUGACAAUUGCUACGGUCAUAAGUGAAGUGAUACAACAGAAUACUGAUGAAUGUGAUGUUAUUUGUCACGAGUUCAGCCAACCUCUUAUUGCUUAACAAGACAUUUUAAAUUCAGGGCGAGAUGGUACAAGUCAAUUCACUGGGAUUGAAGACUAUAUCGAUAGCUAAGCAAAUUCUUACAAUGUAUAUAUUAUUUUUUCCAUUCUCCGUAAUGAAAUGCUUCUAAAAAAAUGUAACUUCUUCUUUAUUUAUACUUUUAUAUUUAUAGUUGCAUUUGCAUUUCAUGUAUUUAUUUGAAAACAAUUUAAAUUUUGCAGCAUUUCAUAUUUCCGCUUUUAUAUUGACUUCGUCUGCUUGGCAGUAAAAACUCCCUGUAUAUCAGUGAUCCAAGCUGAGAUCUUAGUUACUUGAUACGACCCUGGUUGCUAUCGUUAGUCGUUACGCAGCAGAUAAAAAGUCCGUAACGGUGGCAACUGGCAACCAAAAUAAAGCCUAGGGGUUACUAAGUAGGAGGGGGGAAAUUUCCUCAGACUGUGUGUUCUCAGAGUCUGCCAGCAAAGUGAAAAGCAUAUAGACAAGAUCCUCAAUAUUGCAAGAUCUCUGGCAUUGAGAACUUUGGGGAGUAGCCUAUGGCAAUUCUGAUCAGAAAUCAGUGCAUUACAGCAUUCACAACAGUUUGGACAACACACAAUGCUCCCCUGUCGAGUUAGAGGCAGCCAUCUACGCCGCAUCCAAGUUUGCCACACAGUCUCGAACCUUUUCCGUCCACAUGCGCAGUAAAAUUGCCGAAAUGAUUUAGGAUCUGGCCACACCUGUAAAUACCAAGCUCAAGCUCAAGCUCAUCCCCAUCUUGCAGUACAUGCACCAUGAUGCUUACACGGCCGCCAUAGUUCGACGUUUGUGCACCCAGCUACCCAGCCCCAAAAUUUCGUCUGUGUAACACUUCACACACUAACUCUGAUGACUAGUGAAACUCUAGUCGAAUUCCCGCAAUAGCUACUCCUGCUUCUUGAAUAUCUUGUUCGAUUCAAGUUUUGUCCAACUUAAAUUUUGUCUGUCAAAGUUGCCCAUCUGUGGACUACUUCUAACGUGGAUGGACUCUUUGGCCUACUGCUUGAUCAACCUAAUCUCGAAUUGCAUAGAUUAGAAGGACACUGGACGUUCUAGUUACCCUAGCCAUGGCUGAAGCCUCGAACUGUUUUUUCCUCAAGGCCGAUACAAAGUUACACUUGAUUUGGAAUCAGUGUUGCUACACUUGUGACCAAUCUGAUGCAGCAAAAGCAGUUCAGCUACUUGUUCAACUUGUAGUUAUAUCUAGCAAACAAUAUUCUUUUUCGUCCUCAGCGCCCGAUUAAAGCCAAGACGCUGCCCAUGCUGUUGAAUCGCUCAUAUUUGGCCUCUGCUUAUUGGGAAAGACCGAAGAGAGGAAACUCAAGAAUGCGUUGAAAUCAGCCGCCCAGCUGAGUCGUGUCGCCAGAAAUCAGCGCCACCAUCAUUGAUUGCCUCAUUCGCUUGUUGCCUCAAUCUUCCGGUUCCAUGUUAGUCCUGCUGUGACAGGCUCUGGCUACCAUCGGAAAUACUCAACCGGCCGCCAUUGUCCGCAUCUGCAGCAUUGGUCGCUAUUCAUAGCAACCGGCCGCCAUUGUGGUUUUCUUCCGUUCGACGAAAACUUGUUCAGCUGUUGUCACUUCUGGCCGCCGUCGCGGUCCGCCGUCCUAACAUUCGUUCUCGUCGCGGUGGAUCUCGGGCAGGACCUCUGGUUCGCCUAUCACAACUCCAGACGAAGUCUUCAUUUUUCAGGUUCCUGCUUCUCUCUACAUGAUCCUGGCCGCCUACAAUUUGCUACCGACAAUGUUAAUCGGCUUUUUCGUCGCUAUCGUUCACUUGACAGCGAACGCGUUACUCUUUCAGACGAGAAAAUCGGUCAACAACGAAGUUGACAUUUCUCUGAUCAUGGCUGAUGUCGGAUUUUAUCUGACAGCCAACGUUGUCGGCAUUUUCACCAAUUGCCUGAACGAGACUACGCUGAGAUGGGCCUUUCUCGACCGUCGCUGGUGCAUCGAGUCCACCAUCAAAUUGGACUACGAGAAGAGUCAAGAAGAACAGCUGAUGCUGUCCAUCUUGCCCAAACACAUCGCCCACGACGUGGGCACCGACAUCAGGGAGGAAGUCUAGUUGAUGACGAGAUCCAAAAUGUCGCCGUCGUCCAGGAAACCGUUCGAACAGUUACACGUCGAGAUGAUCCGGAAGUCAGUGUUCUUUACGCCGAUAUCGUCAACUUUACUCUGUUGACUGCAGCCCUCUCGGCGUCCAGCCUCAUCUCCAUGCUCAACGAAUUUUUUGGCAAAUUCAACGAGGCUGCCAAAGAAAUCGAUUGUUUAAGAAUUAAAAUCCUCGGUGACUGUUAUUGCUGCGUGUCUAGAAUACCGGACUCGACCACCACCCAUGCUAAGAAUUUUGUCGGAAUGGGAUUCAAGAUGAUUGAAAUCUAUCGCCAAAUUAGAGAGGAUCGCCAAGUGGAUGUGGACAUACGGAUCGGCAUUCAUAGUAGCAGCGAGCAGCGUUAUCAGUGGUCUGCCUUCGCAAGUGGCAGUUUGAUAUCUGGACCCGUGACGUGAUCAUCGCCAAUCACAUCAAACAAUCGAUGUGUGCAACCAAGAAUCUGCUGGGGGAUUCUAAUCAAUUUAAUCCCGGGAACGGAAUGAAACGUGAUACUUACCUGGCAAAACUGGGAAUUGAGACCUUUCUAGUCGUUUCAACCAACGCCAAUCAAUCGAAGGAAUCUGGAGUCUAAAGGAUCAAAGUUAAAGCCGAUCCUUUCGCAUCGCUUCCCCGUAUGAACGCUGUUGUUGCUAUGACUUAUGAGUUAUGAAGUAGCUUCCACAAAAAAUCAUUGGGUUGACUGUGAAACAAACAAUUAACUCAAUAACGAUGCUGAAAAUUGAAAACUCAUCGCUUGACAGUCUCUACGAUUGACUCCCGCCAAGCCUUCCAGUAGCGGUUGCUUACCGUAUUCCGCCAUCGUCAUCAUUACGUCACAUCUAUGCGAAAAUGCGACAGUCAUCACUAGCGACAGGUGACGAACAUUCUGAGGAAAUUUACAUCCGGCUAGUGAAAAAUCCCAGGAAAUCUAGUGUGGCUAGCGGAACUGGAAGACGACUCUUUGCCAGGAGGCGAUCGACGACUGGUGAAAACACCUCACGACGGGGUGCAGUUUUGAUGGACAACACUUUAGUCAGUUUCCGGCGGAUGAUGGACCAAGCCGAUUCUAAGAUGGAAAAAUCCAUCGAAUCCAUGUUAUUAUCAAAAGUCAGAAGACGAUCCAGGGCGACUCCGGACCAGGAAUCGCACGUCAACCUUUUUCUUUUCUUCUCCAACCGAUCCUGGGAACUUCCUUUUUUGCAGCGUCCGGAUCCUUUGUUCAACCUUUACGUCUUGGGUGCCAUUCCAGUUCUGAUUGGGAUCAUGACCAUUCAGCUCACUCUCUAUAGUAGUGGCCCCCGGACAUUCUGGUUGGCCUUUGGGAUAGCCUUGAUUAUUGUGGUGUUAGUUGGCAUGUGCUUGUGGGUGCCCCAGAUUUGGUACUACAGUAGGAACUCUAUUAACGACGACCCGGAAAAUGUAUUUGAAAGCCUCUCUGUUUCUCCCGAGCCGAUCCAGCUCGACCGUCUCAGCAGCGUUUUUCAAGCUGGAUUCUUUUUGUUCAUCCCUAACGACCCGGACCCUUAUCUUUCUCGUGGUUACGGUGGCCGUUGGUGCUUGUGGUCUAGUUGAUCUGGACCAUGUCAAAGAAUCAAAUAAUACAUCAAAAGCAAUGACAGAGAAUGCGACCGGCCAGUGCAACUUCCAAGAUUCUCGCAUUUACCUCUGGCUAUAUGAUGGUCGAGAAGAAUGCCUCUUAUGCCAAGCUAGUCCAUCUGUUCAGCCGGAACUCAGUCAUGCUUUAUGUCUGUUGACUAUCCUCAUGAUUUUGCACGUGGCCGACCGUCAGAUUGAAUUCAUCAACCGGCUAGAUUACGUGUGGCAGCGUCAGCUGGCCAAUGAACAGGAGGAAGAUAAAACCACCAGAAUCGUCAACAAGAUGUUGCUUCUAAACAUCUUGCCCCAUCACGUUGCUGAUGUUUAUCUAGAUACAUCCCGCUGCAGUGAACAACUGUAUCACGAAGAACACAAACGAGUGGCCGUCAUGUUUGCCUCUAUUCCAAAUUUUAUGGACUAUUUCGCAGAAAAUGACAUCGACGAUCGUUGCUUAGGAGUCCUUAACUCGAUCAUCAGCGCGUUUGAUGCGUUGUCAUUCGAGGAAUCGUUCUGCCGCAUUGAGAAAAUCAAAAUUGUGGGCAGCACCUACAUGGCAGCAUCAGGUCUCACGGCUGUCCUCAAUGGAUCGACUGCUGAGACGGUUGCGGAAAGCGAAUCGCGCGUUAUCGCACUGAUCACCAUGAUUAGGUUUGCUUUGGCAAUGUGCACGGUACUCGACCAGCUGAAUCGAAAGCAAGCGCACAACUUCCAACAAGCGCCCAACUUCCAACUGCGGAUCGGAAUUGAAUACGGACCGGUUAUUGCAGGAGUUGUCGGAGCGCAAAAGCCGCUUUACGACAUUUGGGGCGAUACGGUCAACAUGGCAUCCCGGUUGGAGUACACUAGUCAAUUGGGUGAAAUUCAAGUUACAGAAAAGACGGCCAAAUUACUGGAAGCUGUUGGCAUCCACUGUGAGAAGCGAGGCGAAACGUUCUUGAAAGGCAAAGGCCUCGUUAUGACGUACUGGGUGCGUCCGGAGGAGUUAGAUUCCUACGAUUCUCUUCAAAAUUCCUCGGCGCGAUUAAGAGCUUCCUCAUCGGUUUGAGCGACAUGUUAUUGACAUCAACUUCGGCUCGCAGUUCACUAAGCCGCAAACCAAUCGGCUGUCCGUUCUGAUUGAAGAAGACAAAGGAGAACGUUCCAGUCAAAAAGCUUUUGUCGUCUUGUUCUAGAGUGGGAGCUAAUCUAAUCCAGCUCUUACAUCACCUCUUCUCAUGAAAUUCGAGUUGUAAGAAGAUGUCGAUAUUGUGUCACUGUCGAAUGAAGACGUUAAUUUAGAUAUUUAUGAUGAAGAUUAAAUGACGCACCUCUAAAAAAAAUUCCCCUUUUUUAAUUCUUUUUUUUAACUCAACUGCCUCACCGGUAAAGUUCUAAGGCACUCAA